rnacentral:tRNA from 1 species
GGGCCCGUAGCUCAGUGGUCAGAGCGAUCGGCUCAUAACCGAUUGGUCGCAAGUUCGAGUCUUGCCGGGCCCACCA